GUUCUUGUUGUUCUCAUCAAACAUGGCAAAUAUAUAGGUCUCAAUAGGUCCAGGCUUUCUUGGGCUACCCUCUUUAGCGUGUUGAAUUAAGUUCCUCAAGUAAGUUGCUGCAUUGUCAUAUGUAGCUCCAAAUGCACCAGCAGAUGGCCAGCCACUCUCGGACACAACAAUCCCUACAGAUGCCCCUCCUGAUCGCUCGAGGGCAGCAUACACAGAAUCCAGCAUUGCAUCAAAUAAGUUCCUAUAUUGGCGUGAACCAUCUUGUACUACCACAUUUGGUGCUGUAAAAAGAGAAUAGGGGAGAGAAAUCUGCCCUGGAUUACCAGAAUAGCUGAAAUAGGGGUAAAUGUUAACGAGUAAAGGUGCACGUGUGUCCCUUAAGAACCCAACAAUUGGAUCAGUAAACCACCUAGCAUCGUUCCUAAACGAACCCUGUGAUGGUGGAUAAGAGUUUCCAAUCAAGGUCAUGUCUACAGAAGUUGAGACCUUGAUGUUGUUUCCUAAACCAGCUUCACCAAUUGCUUUGUAAAUAUUUACCAUGGCAGGAGUAAGAAAUGAGGUAAGGUAAGAUGUGCCUGUGACAGGGCUGAUUUCAUUCCCAACAGCAAUAUACUUAAUCUUAACAUCUGGCCAGAAAUCUUUAACAUUCUUUUGUACCCACCAUCUUGCAUGUUCCAUUCCGGAAGCAAUGUGCUUGACAUCUGAAUUGGGAAGUCCUAACAUAACUUCAAUGUUUGAGCCUUUUAAUGCUUGUAAAGCUCCAUGAUUUGGAUCAUAAAGCCUCAGUCUUCCUAUGUUUCUUGACUUGUAGAGCUGUAUAACUUCCCAAUGAUUUGGCAAGUUGUUGCCUAGCAUUCCAUAGCAAACACCUAUUGAUUGAGCCCCUGCUCAAUAAGAAUUAGAAUUAGUGUUAGAAACUAAAUCAAUUAUGUAAUUCUUGAAAAGUUAAAAACUUACAGUAGACAUGGUAGGUCCCUCCACUAGGGGAUGAUGUAACCAUUUUAAUUUAUGUGACAUAAUUUAAUUCGGCACAAAGUUUAAGAAAAAGAAGAAUGUGAAAAUUGUGUUAUUAAACAUGCUAUAAUAUUUGUACAGACUAUAAGAUAUUUGGAACUUGUAGUCUAAUAUGUUCCAUAAUAUUUGUGAUGUUAUAAAAGGUUGAGAAUAAAAAGUUUAAAGUUAAAAUAUUUUUAAAUAUCAAAUAUGUCAUUCUCUUUGGAAGAAACUAACAGAAAGUGUGUCACAUAAAUUAGAACAGAGGGAAUAUGUGUUAUGUGUUAAUACGAACCUAAUAGCUUUGACUCAGGUCGGUGUAUGUGUUAAAAGAUUUACUAUACAACUAAUAGACGUCUAGCCAAUAAAUCAAAUGGACACUAGUCUAAACUCAUAAAUUUCAAAUUUUAGAUUCACCGCCCUCCCCUCAAAUUUGAAAAGCUUGUGAGUGAGUGUUACCCGAAAAAAGAGCAAAUAACUAUCGCUAAAUGAAUAUAGUGCAAGUAAAUUUGAGAAAAAAACACAAGCAAUUUGAUAAGAAAAAUAAGCAAAUAACUAUCAACUAAAUUAAGAUUUUGCACCAACAAAAUUAUAAGACAAUAUUUUUGGCUCGGAAGUUCAAAUAUUUGACCAGAAACCUGC
rnacentral:lncRNA from 1 species